UGACCACGCUAUCCGGAUUUGCCCCAUUGAUACUUUCUAUGUUUGGAUUGGGUCUUCUCUAACCGUACCCUAACUUCCUUCUGCUUCAGCUGUAACAAACACCGCUCGCAUUGCUUCUGCUUCUUCAGCCACAGUUCAUGCAAUGGAUAUGUCAGAUGCGGUAACAGCCAAAUCUAGCCGGCUAAAAUCUGUUGUAUGGAAUGAUUUUGAUAGGGUUAAAAAAGGCGAUGCCUGUGUGGCUAUAUGUAGGCAUUGUAAAAAGAGGUUGAGUGGAUCUAGUAGUAGUGGAACAUCUCAUUUAAGGAACCAUUUGAUCAGGUGUCUGAGGAGAUCUAACAAUGGAAUAUCACCAUCCAUUUCAGCAAGGGAAAAGAGGAAGGAAGGGGCUCUUGCAAUAUCAAAUAUCAGUUUUGAUCAAGAUCAGAAAAAGGAUGAUGACCUUAGCCUUGUGAACAUUAAAUUUGAGCAGGAGCAGUUGAAAGAUGACAUUUUCAGCAAUGGAAACAAGAACUUUGAUCAAAGACGGAGUCAAUUGGAUCUUGCUCGCAUGAUUAUCUUGCAUGGAUAUCCAUUGACUAUGGUCGAGCAUGUUGGUUUUAAAGUAUUUGUGAAAAAUCUUCAGCCACUGUUUGACCUUGUGACAGUGAAUAGCAUUGAGGCUGACUGCAUUGAGCUCUAUGAGAAAGAGAAACAGAAGAUGAAUGAAAUGUUGGAUAAAUUACCUGGUAAAAUCAGCCUUAGUGCUGAUGUGUGGAUGGCUAUGGGUGAUACUGAGUAUCUGUGUUUGACAGCAAAUUACAUAGAUGAAUCAUGGCAGUUGAGAAAGAGAAUCCUAAAUUUUAUCAUGAUCGAUCCUUCUCAUACUGAAGACAUGCUUUUGGAGGCUAUUACGACGUGUCUGAUGGACUGGGAUAUUGACCGUAAGUUAUUUUCCAUGACAUUGGAUACUUGUUCCACCAAUGAUAACAUCGCCAAGAGAAUUGGUGAGCGUCUUUCACAGAAUAGGUUCCUUUAUUGUAAUGGUCAACUAUUUGAUAUACGCUGUGCUGCAAAUGUUAUUAAUAUAAUGGUUCAGGAUGCUCUGGGAGCAGUAAGUGACAUAGUCAAUAAGGUUCGAGAAAGUAUUCGUUAUAUUAGAAGUUCACACUCUGUAUUGGAAAAGUUCAAUGACUUGGUUAAAGAAGUUGGGAUCCAGAGUAAAAAAUAUUUAUUUCUUGAUAAUCAAAUGCAAUGGAAUUCCACCUAUUCAAUGCUUGAGACUGCCUUGGAAUUCAGGGAUGUACUUACUCUUCUACAAGAAAAUGACAAUGCGUACAGAAUCAGUCUUUCCAAUGUAGAGUGGGAGAGAGCCACUGCAGUCACUAGUUACUUGAAAUAUUUUGCUGAUGUUACAAAUGUUCUCACAAGGAGCAAGUAUCCAACGGCAAACAUUUACUUCCCUGAGCUUUGUGAUGUAAAGUUGCAGUUGAUGGAAUGGUGCAAAACCUCAGAUGAAUGUAUUAAUGGUUUGACGUUAAAGAUGAGAAGCAAGUUUGAUGAAUAUUGGGAGAAAUGCAGUUUAGGCUUGGCAGUUGCAGCAAUGUUAGAUCCUCGAUUCAAGAUGAAAUUGGUAGAGUAUUACUACCCACAAAUCUAUGGUAGCACUUCUGCUGGUCGCAUUGAUGAGGUCUUUGAUGGUGUGAAGGCCCUGUAUAAUGAGCUCUCAAUCUGCUCCCCAUUAGCUUCUUCUCAUGAUCAGGGAUUAGCCUGGCAGGUUGGGAAUGGGACGCUUUGUUUACCUGGUAAGGAUUCGAGGGAUAGAUUGAUGGGGUUUGACAAAUUCCUCCAUGAAACUUCUCAGGGUGAAGAUGUGAAAUCGGAUUUAGAAAAAUACUUAGAAGAACCUCUCUUUCCACGAAAUGUUGAUUUCAGCAUAUUAAACUGGUGGAAAGUACACACUCCGAGGUAUCCUGUCUUGUCCAUGAUGGCAAGAAACGUAUUAGGGGUUCCAAUGUCAAAGGUUUCACCAGAGUUGGCCUAUAGUAAUAAUGGAAGAGAACUUGAUCGUGAUUGGAGUUCACUUAACCCUGCCACUGUUCAAGCCUUGGUGUGUUCACAAGAUUGGAUACAGGGUGAACUGGAAAGUUAAAGAACUGCUUUUCUCCUGCCUUUUGACUUACAUAUGUUGAUUCUUCUCUUAAGAAAUUCCUUUAUCUCAGCAUCCUUGGUCAUCCACGAUCCACUUAGCCUUGGAGCAUCACUCUGGUCAUUGGUGUGCCUAUGCCCUUGGAACUCCCUGGGGUUUUUGAGCUUCAUAGAUGUUUGAAGAUCAGAAAAAAGACCUCCUUCCAUAUGGAUUCAAAAUUUGAGCAUGGAUCUCCAUCUGGUGACAACUGCAAUUACUUUUCCUUGUUGAGACCCCCCAUAACAAAAUCAGGAUUUUGUCUCCCCUGCAUAUCUAUAUAAUAGAUGCACUGCAUCCCCUUUGCUUCACGAGCCUACGAAGACAUUGUCGUGAACAUCCGGUCUCGGCCAAGAAAAUGGUGUUUGGUUAGGUGGCCUUUAGUCAGCUGCUCAAGUCAUAAAAUUAUCGAGGGGCAGCUUAGGCCCAAAGCCUUGGUAUUUUUCACGAGAAAAUGAUUCCCCUUAACC